CUUAAAUUGUUUGUUUUUUUCUCAGACAAUGUUUUAGUGUGGUAACUCCCACAUACACAUAUCAUUGUUUUUUCUACUUGAAGAUGAUGGAGACCAUAUUUCCCCUACGCCGACAGACCAUAGUGAUGUCCGGCCCACCAGUGAACGACCUCAUGGACCUCUGGCCUGCUCUCAAAAUAGAGUCUGAGCUGUAUGCAGAGUUCCAGCGGAUUACAACUCAGAACCUGCCCAACACGUGCUAUGCUGAGCUUGACCGCCAUCUUCCUCUAAUGAUGACCUUAUUCAGACAGAAGGCACCAUAACUGGGAAGACAGCAGAUGCUCUGGCUGAAAUUUAAAAAAUCCACGAUGAACAGGAAAUCCAUGACAUCCACACCACGCGCACUACUGUUCUCCAUGCCCUUCCUGUGUAUCUGCGCGAGGAGGUCUCUGGAUUUUUAAGAACCUGCACGGAUGAGUCCGAUGAGCCAGAGCUUGAUGGGUUUGCAGUGGGCUUCAUUACUUUCAUCAGUGACUAUGACGCAAGUCCAGUUCACUACCACCCUGUGAGAAUCACUGUCGUCAUUGAAAGUGAUGCCGUGGUCAGCCUCCCCUGACUUGGUGAUGCCUUCCUGGUAAUCUGUGGAGUGAUCUAUGCACUACACCUCAGCUAUCCCAAAGAACUGACCAACACUUUUGAAUUCACUUAAAAGUUUUACCUUUGUCUAGAAAGUGGUAAACUAUCCCCGAGGUUGCACACCCUCAAGAAUGAACUAAUGAUGUAGAAACUCAUCUGAAAAAUGGCUGCAGGGUAAAGCAUUAAAAAAGUUACUGCACUACUGCAGGUGUUCAGCCAAUAGGCCCAAACUACACAAUAUUUCUUUGUUCUCAUUAAUAUAAUGCAAAAGUAACGCUAAUGUUUUGUAUGUUUUAAUGUUUUUCUUAACCAUUGUGGGCUGCGGAAGAUGACCCACAUUUCACUGUGCAUUUGAUACUAGUUAUGUGAAACAUUUACAUUUUAGCCCUGUUGCCUUAAUCAGGAAUUAGCAAGGAAGCCAAAAGCAGUGUUUUUUCUUUUAUAGCUGUAACGAACAAUAAUUUCAUUUUGGUAUUAUUGUUUUUGAUUACUCCGACUAUUUUCCUGACUAUCUGAUUAGUUGUCUGGUCAAUAUCAGAAAUUUGUGA